GCGAGGAUAGCUCAAUUAGGAGAGCGUUAGACUGAAAAUUUGAAGUUCACGUGUUUGAUCCACGUUCAUCGCA
rfam:Gossypium hirsutum cultivar TM-1 chromosome 19, whole genome shotgun sequence